rnacentral:lncRNA from 1 species
GAAAGUGGCGGAUAUGGCACGGCACUACGCCGUGCAAGUACCAGCUCAUGGUCGUCAGGCUGAACUCUAAAUGGGAUCUGAGGAGACUGUGUAAGACGGUCGGCGCUGUGGCCCUGCCUAGACUGGUGAGUUCCCCUUACUGACAGGGUAGAGUGGGUGUUGACUGUAUUCGUACCCAAUCGUUUGUUUCCUUCAUACAAGGAACUCAGUCCAUUGUAAUAUAUUCAUUAGGCUCUGAUCUAUGGAUUUCACGUGACUGGGAAUACAGACAUACAUCUGUAGGUCACAGAUACUGGGAAUACAGACAGAUACACAAAGUAGGGGUGUGAAUCAGAAAACCAGUCGGUAACUACACAAAUAUAUUGGUACAGUUUAUUAAUCGUGAAAGGCAAUGGACCUCUUGAGGUGAUGACAGCCUAAUACAGAUUCAUGUCUGUUCUACGAAAUAUGUUUCCCCUAAUAAAGACAUUACUGUUACAAUGUCCGCUGAACUGACAUGGUUGU